rnacentral:lncRNA from 1 species
UCGGGAGCAGUAACAACACCUGAAAACAGGAGCCACAACAAGGCUGAGCUACUAAGCUCAACAAGACUUAACCGACAGGAGUAAGGCUACUCCACACUUCUAGACAUGCAAGGCUUUUUGGCUGAGGGGGGGUUUGUUUGCCAAAAGCACUAAGUAAAACCCUAUUUUUAAGUUUUAGCUCCAGUUCUAAGUUCAUUAACCGGUCUAGGUUUUGCAACCUAUUCUAAGCAAUCAUAGAACCAAAUCAAGGUAUGUAUAUAUCAACAAAACCAUGUCAUCAUCAGAUUCCUCAUUUACUCAGGUUGACAUAGCGAUCAAGCAGUCUCAAACUGUGAGAGGCAGACGAAUC